UCCUACUCAGAGAGCGUAUAGCGCUCGAGACUUCGAUGGCAGUCGUUGUUCUCUAAUCCUUGAGCCCGCUUGUGGCGGGAAAUGGAUAGAGAACCACAGUUUACAGGAAGCAUGGAGAGGAUCGUGUGGAGUUUUCAUUAAACUUGGUUGAAGACUUGGAAAUUAUAGUCAGGUGACUUCAAUUUUGUGACUAAGACAUAUCUUUGAGGACUAGAGUAGAACAAGAGAAACUUUCAAAUAGCCACGAAGAGUGGAACAGCAAUCCCACAUGUAUGCUGUACAAAUGAAGAACUGAGAGCAACAGGAAGCCUCAAACUUCAACAACAGUGACCAAGAUGCUGAUAGCCUAAGAGAAGGGGAUUGGGUGGCAGGACCUGACCGAGCUCCACCCGGACACGUGUUCAUCACAAAUCUUCCCAAACCCCUGGCUCUGGCGCCAGGCGCCUUGGGAAGCGAGGCUCUCAGAGACCAGCUCUCUGAGACUCUCCAGGGACAAGAGCGCUGGCAGAAAACAAGGGGCGACUCUAGGGCUACCAUCGCCCAGCGACUCUUCAAGAUGCCCUCCAAACCUGGGGUCAUGAUGGAACGAACCCCAAUUUCGUUCCGUGUCUCGGAAGAAGCCUCCCCACAGCUGCCUCUCGCCCCAGACUAGUAAACCUCUCAGGCUUCUCCCCACUUGGCCUUUACUUACAUGCACGUGUCUGGAGCUCGGCCCGGGUACU